UGGGGAAUAUUGCACAAUGGGCGCAAGCCUGAUGCAGCCAUGCCGCGUGUGUGAAGAAGGCCUUCGGGUUGUAAAGCACUUUCAGCGAGGAGGAAGGUGGUGGACUUAAUACGUUCAUCAAUUGACGUUACUCGCAGAAGAAGCACCGGCUAACUCCGUGCCAGCAGCCGCGGUAAUACGAAGGGUGCAAGCGUUAAUCGGAAUUACUGGGCGUAAAGCGCACGCAGGCGGUUUGUUAAGUCAGAUGUGAAAUCCCCGGGCUCAACCUGGGAACUGCAUUUGAAACUGGCAAGCUAGAGUCUCGUAGAGGGGGGUAGAAUUCCAGGUGUAGCGGUGAAAUGCGUAGAGAUCUGGAGGAAUACCGGUGGCGAAGGCGGCCCCCUGGACGAAGACUGACGCUCAGGUGCGAAAGCGUGGGGAGCAAACAGGAUUAGAUACCCUGGUAGUCCACGCUGUAAACGAUGUCGAUUUGGAGGUUGUGCCCUUGAGGCGUGGCUUCCGGAGCUAACGCGUUAAAUCGACCGCCUGGGGAGUACGGCCGCAAGGUUAAAACUUAAAGGAAUUGACGGGGUC
rnacentral:rRNA from 1 species